UGAACGCUGGCGGCGUGCCUAACACAUGCAAGUCGAACGGAGAUUAACGCUGAUGAGGCUUCGGCGGAUUCUGUAAAUCUAGUGGCGGACGGGUGAGUAACGCGUGGGCAACCUGCCUCAUACUGGGGGGAUAGCAGUUGGAAACGACUGAUAAUACCGCAUAAGCGCACGGAGUCGCAUGACUCAGUGUGAAAAACUCCGGUGGUAUGAGAUGGGCCCGCGUCAGAUUAGCUAGUUGGUAAGGUAACGGCUUACCAAGGCGACGAUCUGUAGCCGGACUGAGAGGUCGGACGGCCACAUUGGGACUGAGACACGGCCCAAACUCCUACGGGAGGCAGCAGUGGGGGAUAUUGCACAAUGGAGGAAACUCUGAUGCAGCGACGCCGCGUGAGUGAAGAAGUAUUUCGGUAUGUAAAGCUCUAUCAGCAGGGAAGAAAGACUCGCAAGGGAGAUGACGGUACCUGACUAAGAAGCCCCGGCUAACUACGUGCCAGCCGCAGC
rnacentral:rRNA from 1 species